AGAGUUUGAUCCUGGCUCAGGAUAAACGCUGGCGGCGCACAUAAGACAUGCAAGUCGAACGGACUUAAUCGAUUCUUUUAGAUUCGAAGCGGUUAGUGGCGGACUGGUGAGUAACACGUAAGCAACCUGCCUAUUAGAGGGGAAUAACAGUGAGAAAUCACUGCUAAAACCGCAUAUGCCGUGAACAUCGCAUGAUGAAAACGGGAAAAGAGCAAUCUGCUAAUAGAUGGGCUUGCGUCUGAUUAGCUAGUUGGUGUGGUAAAGGCAUACCAAGGCAACGAUCAGUAGCCGGACUGAGAGGUUGAACGGCCACAUUGGGACUGAGAUACGGCCCAGACUCCUACGGGAGGCAGCAGUCGGGAAUAUUGCGCAAUGGAGGAAACUCUGACGCAGUGACGCCGCGUAUGGGAAGAAGGUUUUCGGAUUGUAAACCAUUUUAGACAAGGAAGAAACAAGACAGUACUUGUAGAAUAAGCUCCGG
rnacentral:rRNA from 1 species